rnacentral:rRNA from 1 species
GAUCAUGGCUCAGGAUGAACGCUGGCGGCGCGCUUAACACAUGCAAGUCGAACGGUUAAAGCACCUCCGGGUGUGCAUAAAGUGGCGAACGGCUGAGUAACACGUGGGCAACCUGCCCCCCGCACCGGGAUAGCCUCGGGAAACCGUGGGUAAUACCGGAUACUCCGCCACCCCCGCAUGGGGGAGGCGGGAAAGCGUACACGGCGGGGGAUGGGCCCGCGGCCUGUUAGCUCGUUGGCGGGGUAACGGCCCACCAAGGCGAUUAUGGGUAGCCGGGUUGAGAGACCGACCGGCCAGAUUGGGACUGAGACACGGCCCAGACUCCUACGGGAGGCAGCAGUGGGGAAUCUUGCACAAUGGGCGAAAGCCUGAUUGCAGCGACGCCGCGUGCGGGACGAAGGCCCUCGGGUUGUAAACCGCUUUCAGCAGGGACGAGGCGCAAGUGACGGUACCUGCAGAAGAAGCCCCGGCUAACUACGUGCCAGCCGCCGC